AUGGUGACUAGGCCAGGGCGCUUGAUCCUUGUGAACCAGGUGGUGCGAGCGCGGCCCACGCACCAUCUGAUCGUGGCCGAGGCCCCCAAGUGGGCGCUGGAGAAGAUUGAUAAGGGCUGCCGCGCGUUCUUCUGGGCCGGGACGGAGGAGAUCCAGGGAGGCAAGUGCGCGGUGGCUUGGAAAAGGGUGUGCCGCCCCAAAGAGUUGGGAGGUCUUGGAGUCAUGGAUCUUUACAAACAGGGUCUGGCACUCAGGUUGAGAUGGGAGUGGUUGAAGCGGACAGAUAAUGAUCGCCCUUGGCAAGGGUUGUACUUCAGCUCGGGCAAAGACGUGACUAAGGCAUUCGAUAGCUUGGUAAAAUGGUGUGUAGGCAAGGGUUCACAAGUGUUGUUCUGGAGAGAUCGCUGGAUCAAUGGCUCUAACAUCAGCGACGUCCCGCCACUCCUCAUCGGAAAGGUUAGCAAGCAAGUGGUGAAUAGGAGGAAGGUCAAUGAAGCGCUUCUCCUACAUGCCUGGACCCAGGAUAUCUGGGGAGACAUGAACACGGAGGAGCUGCUCCAGUUCAUAAGAUUGUGGGAGAUACUGCUACAAAUGGAGCUAAGGCCUAACCUGGAGGACGUCCCGAUCUGGCAGUGGGAUGCUAGUGGCACUUACUCUCCAAGUUCAGCCUACAAGAUGAUGUGCCAUGGAGGCAUUAGGUUUCAAUGCGCUUCGGCAGUUUGGCGUUGCUGGGCGACGCUAACGUGUAAGAUCUUCACCUGGCUAGCUCUCCAACACCGGAUUUGGACAUCAGACCGGAGGCAAAGGCAUGGAUUGCAAGAACAUAGUUCGUCCUGCUUCCUGUGUGAGCAGGAGGAGGACACGGUCGAGCACCUACUCGUGCAAUGUGUGUAUGCCAGGGAAGUAUGGUUUCUCACAUUCAGGAGACUUGGCAUCGACACUGAG
rnacentral:rRNA from 1 species